GCCUGGGUGGCUUAGUUGGUUAAGCGUCCGUCUGACUUCCGCUCAGGUCAUGAUCUCACGGUUCGUGGGUUCGAGCCCCGCAUCGGGCU
rnacentral:tRNA from 1 species